rnacentral:rRNA from 1 species
UUGACCUCGGAUCAGGUAGGGAUACCCGCUGAACUUAAGCAUAUCAAUAAGCGGAGGAAAAGAAACCAACAGGGAUUGCCCUAGUAACGGCGAGUGAAGCGGCAACAGCUCAAAUUUGAAAUCUGGCUCUUUCAGAGUCCGAGUUGUAAUUUGCAGAGGGCGCUUUGGCUUUGGCAGCGGUCCAAGUUCCUUGGAACAGGACGUCACAGAGGGUGAGAAUCCCGUACGUGGUCGCUAGCUAUUGCCGUGUAAAGCCCCUUCGACGAGUCGAGUUGUUUGGGAAUGCAGC